CGAAUGGUGCAACGGGGGAUGAUGCUGCUGCAGAUGCGAGCUGUCGUCCGUUGGCGAGGACUCUACCCCCGUAGACCGAGCACUAGGCACGACUUCCUCGGUCUGCAUAAUACCCCCUGAAGACACAAGCAGGAGUUUCCUGGUGUCUUGGCUUUUCCACCGAUCAGCAACGUACAAUUGCAGAAGGAUGACUGUGUAUACAAAUACUGUGAAUAUUUGGAGAGUGCAAAAGGAACAAGCGAUAGAUAAUAUAGUACAAAUAGAAUACGAGAAUGUAAAACGAGAGAAAGGUAAAAUCGGACGAAGCAAUGGAGCCAAGUUUACGAUAGCGUAAGAGUGACAAUGAUUUUUAGAAUUUGAGUUCCGAACGCCUGCGCGUUGUGUACAGUCAAAAGCAUACUAACGCUCGACACUUUUUACUUCUAUUAAUUGACUUAUUUUUUUGACCAACAGCCAACAGCUGUCUUUGCGAAUAAUCUAGGCAGAUCGACAGUAACAUCCACUGCCGGUACCUGAACACGGCUGAAAAGGUCAAGAGGGUCUUCAUGAUCAAGAUGACGUUCCGUAGUCGGUGGAUGGAAAUGGCGUGCGCCUUGCGCGCGAGGUACCGAAAGCGCGAGAAAGAAAGGAGGAGCACAUUAUGCCGCGUUUACACCGCUGCCGGCGGAUAAAAAUAUUCUCGCUCGGAAAUAGACGUGGACACCAAGGCAGCACCCGCAACAACUCGACCUUACUUGGACUUGCUCGAUCGGAUUUCGUCCCUUACCCAGGUUGACUCGCGUCUCCCUACGUUUGAGUAACACGAAACGUCAUUGACAUCAUUGACCCCCGUCAUUACCUAGAAGAUCCAGGAGACGCGGAGGAACGCAGAAUCCGCCGAGAGUCCAGCCAUUGAUUGACUCGGAAGGACGUAGACGGGACGAGCAUCGCAAUGGGAUUUACCUGUAAUGGGAAAGCUGCUUUCCGGCAACAUGAACGUAGCGAUCGACCAAACGGUGGUGUUGCUUUCUGAUCUGGGACGUCUUCCUCGAGAGGGAUCAAGCUUGCACCAGGUCCAUGACUUGGAUCAUCAAGACACUAAGGGUCACACCGUACAAGCAGACACUUGUUAAGGCGGCACGCGACGCGACACGGUAGACACCAGAAGUACCAAAGAGAUCAAGAGGACGACGUCGAUGACGGGGACGAGGAUGAUCCCAAUAGCGUUAUAGAUGAGAAAAGGGAAGGAGUAGUAAGACGAAAG